UGGGGAAUUUUGGACAAUGGGCGCAAGCCUGAUCCAGCAAUGCCGCGUGCAGGAUGAAGGCCUUCGGGUUGUAAACUGCUUUUGUACGGAACGAAAAGCUUCUGGUUAAUACCUGGGAGUCAUGACGGUACCGUAAGAAUAAGCACCGGCUAACUACGUGCCAGCAGCCGCGGUAAUACGUAGAGUGCGAGCGUUAAUCGGAAUUACUGGGCGUAAAGCGUGCGCAGGCGGUUAUGUAAGACAGAGGUGAAAUCCCCGGGCUCAACCUGGAAACUGCCUUUGUGAGUGCAGGGCUAGAGUGCGGCAGAGGGGGAUGGAAUUCCGCGUGUAGCAGUGAAAUGCGUAGAUAUGCGGAGGAACACCGAUGGCGAAGGCAAUCCCCUGGGCCUGCACUGACGCUCAUGCACGAAAGCGUGGGGAGCAAACA
rnacentral:rRNA from 1 species